GAUGAACGCUGGCGGCGUGCCUAAUACAUGCAAGUCGAGCGAACGGACGAGAAGCUUGCUUCUCUGAUGUUAGCGGCGGACGGGUGAGUAACACGUGGAUAACCUACCUAUAAGACUGGGAUAACUUCGGGAAACCGGAGCUAAUACCGGAUAAUAUUUUGAACCGCAUGGUUCAAAAGUGAAAGACGGUCUUGCUGUCACUUAUAGAUGGAUCCGCGCUGCUUUAGCUAGUUGGUAAGGUAACGGCUUACCAAGGCAACGAUGCAUAGCCGACCUGAGAGGGUGAUCGGCCACACUGGAACUGAGACACGGUCCAGACUCCUACGGGAGGCAGCAGUAGGGAAUCUUCCGCAAAGGGCGAAAGCCUGACGGAGCAACGCCGCGUGAGUGAUGAAGGUCUUCGGAUCGUAAAACUCUGUUAUUAGGGAAGAACAUAUGUGUAAGUAACUGUGCACAUCUUGACGGUACCUAAUCAGAAAGCCACGGCUAACUACGUG
rnacentral:rRNA from 1 species